AUGAGGCCAUAAUAGAGGAAAGAGAGCAAGGGAUUAAAGACAUACUAAUUGAAAUUGGACAAGCAAAUGACCUCACUGUUCUAGUUCAUCAGCAGAGAGUGAUGAUUGCUGAUGAGGUUGGAUCAAACAUUGAAGCCUCAUCUUCUGUGACAGCACAAGCAAAAGUUCAAAUAUCCAAGGCCUCCAAAAAGUGUGAAUUCUAGGACAUCCUGGUGUUGGUGGGUGCUACUGAUUUUUAUAUUGGUGCUGGUCAUUGUUCUCCUUGUCCUUAUAAUAUAGCAUGGUUUGCUAUUGGCCUUACAAGUGCUGAGUAUGAUCUCAACUUGAUGUAAUCACUACAAGAAAAAACAGAUAAGUCGGCGGUCUUGAACCGGCGGUCAUAAAAAAUUCCGGCCUCGAUACAUCAAUGGUGGCGAUUUUAACUUGACCGCCAUCUAUGAACUAAACUGAGGGUUAAUAUAAAGGAGGGCGGUGGUUCAAUAAAUUAGGCCGGCGUUUUCAGAUUGAAUCGGUCAUGACUCUCUCUCGGGCCGGUAUGAAGAAAACUUCCCUCUAUUUCCAAAACAUCAAAACACGCGGUACUUUGUCUUCUACAUCAAAAACGUGCGGAACAAUUAGAAAAAGUCAAGAAGUUGAGGAGUAAUUCCGAGAAGUUGAGAAAGACAAGUUCAUCAAUCUAGGUACUGUCGCUGGAAUUAUAUUUCUAUUAGUAGGGUUUAUCUUCUUUGUUCUGGGUUUCCUUUGGUGGUGAGGUUGUCUAGUUCACAAAAAUGCAAUGGAUCCAGCAAAAGGAAUUUUGGAAAGCUGAGUUGAAGGAUUUCUGUAGCAAAAAUGGAUAUGAUUUCUGUAGCAAAAGGAAUUUUGUUACAUUCUCCUUUGCUUGUAGAUGUUCUUGAAGGACAAUUGAAAUUUGAGGUCAUGGGUUAGUGGUUCAACAUACAAGUCAACUGGUUAAGCCAUGAAGCAAACAAGGUUGUUGAGUAAAUGAAGAAAACCAAAGUUUCAGGUGAGGAAGGCUUGAAAAUGUUGCAUAUGGAGGGUCCUCAUAUAUGGGUAGAUUGGAUAUUACCUUGUCCAUUGCAUUAGCAGUAAUGCACCUCUAAUUCUAUUCUUUAUCUUGAACAACGUAGUAGAGUAUCUUUUAUUGCUUAUGAUCGACUUAUAUUUUUUAUUUAGUUUUUGCUUAUAUGUGCUUGCUUUUUGUAAAAUCCAAAAUGGGUACACUUAAUGUAUGGAAAUAAAUGGAAUUUUAUCUGAAUGUCAAGUUUGUUUCAAUGGAUACACCUAAUAUAUGUAGGUGUUCACUCUUCAGGUAUGUUGAAGAUCAGUAGUCCUGUUGAUCAGGUUUCUUGAAUGAGCUUAUCAGGCGAUCAAACCUCCACCACUCAAUAUUUGUGGCUUCAAGGCCUAAAAUAGAACUCAAAGAGAACGAUGUCCCAAAAGGAUGGGACAUAUGCAUGAGUUCCAUCACUUGUGAGCCAACAUUGUAUUGCAUGUUUAAAUUCUAAGAUAGGAUAGGUAUCUAGCAUAUUAGUGUUCUAUGUUUUAACCUGUUGUUUAUUAUAUUUAUUUGUUUUUAAACAGCUACUAGACUCUGGGAUAUAGAGAGAACAUUGAUAAUCCUAAUGUCAGGUUAAGUUUCCCAUAUCUGUUGAUUCAUAAUUUAAUUCAUUGGAGAGGUAAUAACUGAAAAUUGUUUGCAUCAUCUUUA